rnacentral:lncRNA from 1 species
CAGGAGAAAGAGAACCACAUCAAAGUGCCCGCCGUCGGCGGCGUCCACGAUGGCGCGGCCCGUGCAGCCUUCUGUGCGUUUCUCGUCGAGGUAGGCCACGGCGUCAAGAUGGCCGUUGGCUGCCGCCGCGUCCAUGGCCCGACGGUCGCCCGGUUGGACCGUGGGACAGUCCUCGGUGAGUGUGCGCAGCAUGCCCACGUCACCGUUGGCCGCUGCUGUUGCGAGGGCCAGCGGUGUCGAACCUUCGGUGCGGUGUGCCAGCAGGUAAGCGACAACGUCUCGAUGACCGUUGGCGGCCGCGCGAUUCACCGCACCGACAGAGCAACCCUCGGUGCGAUUCUCGUGCAAGUAGACUACCACGUCAAAGUGCCCAUUGGCCGCUGCAUAGUCCAUGGCCCUGCGGGUGCAACCCUCCCGACGGUUGCGAUGGAGAAAGUCGACCAAAUCGAGGCGCCCGUGGGCGGCCGCACGAUUCAUGGCAUAGGUCGUGCAGCCUCCCUUGCGGUGGCCGUGCAGAAAGAUUGCUAUGUCGAGGUGACCAUCGUCGACGGCGCAGUCCAUGACUCCCGGUGCCGAGUCGAAACCGGGCGCGUCCAACUCGUGUAGGGCGAUGAUCAACCCCAAAUGGCCACGGUGUGCGGCCAAAAAGGGCGCCGACUCAUAGUCGGCCAGGUCCAUGCGGCCGAGCGCCACCAGGCCGCGGACGGCCGUGGCGUUGCCGGUCUCGAGGAGGUCGAGCGGACCCGACCAGCCGCGCGAGGCUACAAUGCGGCGCGCAUAAUCGGCCGGCGAGUAGACGUGCCACAGUCGCGACGCUGCCGCGCACGCGCAAAAGUCGACAUUGUCCAAAAGACCGAGUAUCCGAUCGAUGACUUCGGCGGGCAUGUCCCCAAGGCCCAGCGGCACCUCGGCCGUACUCUCCAUUUUUUUCCUUUUGUACUUUUUUGCCCUCUUACUUUGUCUUUUUCUCUUUCUUUUUUACC